ANCAAUGGGAACCUGCAUGGAUGACGCCGCGUGGAGGACGAAGGUCUUCGGAUUGUAAACUCCUGUCAUGCGGGAACAAGAAAGUGAUAGUGCUGCAAGAGGAAGAGACGGCUAACUCUGUGCCAGCAGCCGCGGUAAUACAGAGGUCUCGAGCGUUGUUCGGAUUCAUUGGGCGUAAAGGGUGCGUAGGUGGUGUGGAAAGUUGAGUGUGAAAUCCUAGGGCUUAACCUUAGAACUGCACUCAAAACUCCCAUACUAGAGGAAUGUAGAGGAGAGUGGAAUUCACGGUGUAGCAGUGAAAUGCGUAGAUAUCGUGAGGAAGACCAGUUGCGAAAGCGACUCUCUGGGCAUUUCCUGACACUGAGGCACGAAGGCUAGGGGAGCAAACGGGAUUAGAUACCCCGGUAGUCCUAGCAGUAAACGGUGCACGUUUGGUGUGGGCGGGUUCAGACCCCGUCCGUGCCGGAGCUAACGCGUUAAACGUGCCGCCUGGGAAGUACGGUCGCAAGAUUAAAACUCAAAGAAAUUGACGGGGGCCCGCACAAGCGGUGGAGUAUGUGGCUUAAUUCGAUGCAACGCGAAGAACCUUACCUGGUCUUGACAUGCAUCUCU
rnacentral:rRNA from 1 species